AUUGAACGCUGGCGGCAUGCCUUACACAUGCAAGUCGAACGGCAGCACGGGAGCAAUCCUGGUGGCGAGUGGCGAACGGGUGAGUAAUAUAUCGGAGCGUGCCCAGUCGUGGGGGAUAACGUAGCGAAAGCUACGCUAAUACCGCAUACGAUCUACGGAUGAAAGCGGGGGAUCGCAAGACCUCGCGCGAUUGGAGCGGCCGAUAUCAGAUUAGGUAGUUGGUGAGGUAAAGGCUCACCAAGCCGACGAUCUGUAGCUGGUCUGAGAGGACGACCAGCCACACUGGGACUGAGACACGGCCCAGACUCCUACGGGAGGCAGCAGUGGGGAAUUUUGGACAAUGGACGCAAGUCUGAUCCAGCCAUUCCGCGUGCAGGAUGAAGGCCCUCGGGUUGUAAACUGCUUUGUACGGAACGGAACGGUGAGCUCUAAUACAGUUUGCUAAUGACGUACCGUAAGAAUAAGACCCCGGCUAACUCCGUGCCAG
rnacentral:rRNA from 1 species